UGGACAGUACUGACGCUGAGAUGCGAAAGCGUGGGGAGCAAACAGGAUUAGAUACCCUGGUAGUCACGCUGUAAACGAUGUCGAUUUGGAGUUUGUUGCCUAGAGUGAUGGGCUCCGAAGCUAACGCGAUAAAUCGACCGCCUGGGGAGUACGGCCGCAAGGUUAAAACUCAAAUGAAUUGACGGGGGCCCGCACAAGCGGUGGAGCAUGUGGUUUAAUUCGAUGCAACGCGAAGAACCUUACCUGGUCUUGACAUCCAUAGAAUUCUGCAGAGAUGUGGGAGUGCCUUCGGGAACUAUGAGACAGGUGCUGCAUGGCUGUCGUCAGCUCGUGUUGUGAAAUGUUGGGUUAAGUCCCGCAACGAGCGCAACCCUUAUUCUUUGUUGCCAGCGAUUUGGUCGGGAACUCAAAGGAGACUGCCGUUGAUAAAGCGGAGGAAGGUGGGGACGACGUCAAGUCAUCAUGGCCCUUACGACCAGGGCUACACACGUGCUACAAUGGCGUAUACAAAGGGAAGCGAAGGUGCGAGCUGGAGCGGAUCUCAUAAAGUACGUCUAAGUUCGGAUUGGAGUCUGCAACUCGACUCCAUGAAGUCGGAAUCGCUAGUAAUCGUAGAUCAGAAUGCUACGGUGAAUACGUUCCCGGGCCUUGUACACACCGCCCGUCACACCAUGGGAGUGGGUUGCACCAGAAGUAGAUAGCUUAACCGCGAGGGGGGCGUUUACCACGGUGUGAUUCAUGACUGGGGUGAAGUCGUAACAAGGUAACCA
rnacentral:rRNA from 1 species